rnacentral:rRNA from 1 species
CCUACGGGUGGCAGCAGUGAGGAAUAUUGGUCAAUGGGCGGGAGCCUGAACCAGCCAAGCCGCGUGAGGGAAGAAGGUACAGCGUAUCGUAAACCUCUUUUGUCAGGGAACAAAGGCGGGGACUAGUCCCCGGAUGAGGGUACCUGAAGAAAAAGCAUAGGCUAAUCUCGUGCCAGCAGCCGCGGUAAUACGGGGGAUGCGAGGUUUAUCCGGAUUGAUUGGGGUUAAGGGGUGCGCAGGGGGCCUGUUAAGUCAGGGGGAAAAGCCCGGGGCUCAACCCCGGCGAGCCGUUGAAACUGGCUGGCUGGAGUUGGAGAGAGGUACGCGGAAUGCGCGGUGUAGCGGUGAAAUGCUUAGAUAUCGCGCGGAACCCCGAUUGCGAAGGCAGCGUACCGGCUCCACACUGACGCUGAGGCACGAAAGCGUGGGUAUCGAACAGGAUUAGAUACCCCGGUAGUC